rnacentral:lncRNA from 1 species
GAACGCACGGCUCGGCUUCCGCGCGAGGCCGGACCGCGUCCGCUGCUGUCCUGGUCCCCCAGUCGGCCGCGGCGGCGUGCGGCGGCGGCGGCGGCGUCACCAUGUACGCGGUCUACAAGCAGGCGCACCCUCCCACCGGCCUCGAGUUCGCGAUGUACUGCAACUUCUUCAACAACAGCGAGCGCAACCUGGUGGUGGCCGGGACCUCGCAGCUCUACGUGUACCGCCUGAACCGCGACGCCGAGGUAGGCCCGCGCCGCCCGCGCGCCGCCGUGCUCGUGUGCGCGGCCGGCGGCGGCUGCGCCCGGAGCCUCCUGCGCGCCCGCAGAGAGGCCGCCGCCGCACCGCGCACCGUUGGGCCCGCCCGCAGCCUGCCGCGCCGCCGGAAGGCUGGCGGGCCCGUCGCGUGAGCCCUGGCCGGCCUCGCGCUGGCCAUCCUCCCGCCGCGGCCUCUGGAGCCGCUGGGCUACCGGCGUGCGCCGCCGCCGGGCUGAGAGCCGCUUGGCCUGUAUUUGGAAACGGCCUCCCUGAGGCGGAGCCGGAGAACAUCGCCAGCCCGCGGCGCGGGGCUGCGUCCGCGCGAGGACAGUCUACUGGCAGGACGGGGCGCCGGGCCGCGCUGGUUGCCAGAGCGACCAGGGUCCGACCGGGAAGGCUUCUCGCUCUCCCAGGAACCGGGAGGGCCCGCGUGCGCAGCGGGGCGCGCAGAGGGUGGAGGAGCCACGCAAGCGUUUUGAAUAGGGGCUGCCCGGGUCGAGAGGCAGGCGGCCCUCACCCUCACCCUCACCCUCACCCUGACCCUGACCUUCACCCUCACCCUGACCCUGACCCUGACCCUGCUGGGCACCUUUCCCAGCGCAGGUGCCUUCGUGCCUGAAAUAUGUGCACCUCUGUUGAGGUGUGCUUGACCAAGCAAGCAAAACAGAAAAGGACGGGCUUUUCAGGUCCAUCUCUGAAAGAGCCAAAUAAGUAUUUAAACUUAGUCUUUCUUAUCUGUUGUAGUGGACUUUUACUAAUUAGAAGUUAUUGUAUCAUUAUUUGGUUUUGGGUUUUUUGUUUGUUUAUUUGUUUUUUGGUACUGGGGAAUCGAACCCAUGAGUGCUUUACCACUGAGCUUCACUUCCAGCCCUAUUUAUUUUUUAUUUUGAGACAGAGUCUUGCUAAGUAGCCCAGGCUGGUCUCAAUCUGUGAUCCUCCUGUCUCAGCCUCAUGGAUUGUUGGGAUUACAGGUGUGCACUACCAUGCUCACGAGCAUCAUUACAUUUUUAAGAAAUGGGUUCGGGGGCUGGGGUAGUGGCUCAGUGGUAGAGCUCUUGCCCGGCAUGUGUGAGGCACUGGGUUUGAUCCUCAGCACCACAUAAAAAUGAAAUAAAGGUAUUGUGUCCACCUACAACUAAAAAAUAAAAAUAACCAAAGGAAUGGGCUCAGACCCCACCAGAAUUCAUUUGUCCUUUCAGCAGAUGUUUAUUUAAGUGCUGCUGUGUGCAGGCAUUUGGGGUGAUGCUGAUGCACACUACAGUCAGAGAUGCCUGCCCAUGGAGCUUGCACUCUGAGGACAACAAGCCAUGUACAGCCAUGGAGGUGUGUGAGAGGGGGGCAGUGUCUUGGAGACUGGAGAGCAGGAUGAGGGAGCGAGACCAGGGUGGGGUGCCGAAUGUCUUCCGUCGGAAGGUGGGAUUUGAGCAGGGGAGGAAGAGUGAUGGAGAAACCUGUGGGUAUCAGAUGAAGAAGUUCUAAGUAGACAGAACAGUUCCAGCAGAGGUCCUGUGGCAGGAGGGCAAGUGAGGGCUGGAGGUGAGGAGAGGUGAGCAAACAGGUCAGAGAGGUGACAAGGUGGGUGGCCUCCAGUGUCCCAGGCCUCAAGUGUGGAGCUGCAGUUUUGGCAGAAGAAUCAUCUGACCUGACAAGUUUUCAAGGGUCACUUUGACUGCCACAUUGAAGAGAAGGUGAAAGGAGGCAGGGGGACCAGUUGGGAGCUGGCUGUACCAUUAGUGGAGAGGCAUUAGUGCCUCGGAGUGGUGUGGUGGGGGUAGAGGUAGGUGUGUGAGGGUGACCAAAAGUCUUCCCAGGUCUGUGGGCAGCAAGUCUGAAGUUUGGUGUGAGUACCUGGAGUGGUGGCCUUGCUGUUCUGUGCCCUGGAGAAGGCUGUGGGUGGAUCUUGUAUUAGUUACUAUUUGCCAUUGAACAGGUUACCCCAAAACUUAGAAGCUAAGGAAGGAGGAGUAUUUCUCAGUUUCUGAGGGCCCACAGUCAGGAGCAGCUCAGCAGAACAAUUCCUGAUGAGCUCCCCACAGGGCUGUGGUCCUCUGGGGCUCAGCUGGACUGGAGUUCUGCCUGCACUGCUAGCAGGAGGCCUCCACUCCUCAGCAUGGGCCUCAACAGCAUGACAGACUGCCAGAGUGAGGCAGGUCCUCUGAGACCAGAGCUUGGUCUCAGACACAACUGCUGUCCCUUCUGCUGUUUUGUGCUGGUCCUAUUGACCAACCCUAGUACAGUGAGGGAGGGGAUGCAGAGCUGUGUGUGGUGGGUGGGGCAGAGCUGCUUCAGGUGCUGGUCAGCUGAUUCCUCAGCAGGUGGCCGUUUAGAGCAGCAGGUAGAGAUGGGAGUGGGGUCUGGGCUGGAGGCAGAGUUGGGGUCUUUAGCUUAUGGGUGGCAUCUGCCCUUUGAAGCUGGUAUAGUUACCCAGAGAGAGUAAAGGACAGGGCCCUGGGUACCUCAGCUUUGCAAGGUUGAGACAGGAAGAGUUGGAGGACCGUGGCCAGGGCAGCAGGAGGAAAGGCUGGGGGUGCAGCACAUGGGAGAAGGACACUAGCGCCUCAGGUGGAACAAGACGGGCUGGGGCAAGUGGGGUUGUGGCCUGACCUGAGGAGGAUGGGAGGCCCUGAGAAGGAGGCUUGGUAACAGUGAACCCAGACUACUGUCUGGAGACUCAUGCAAAAGAAAGCAAAGAAAUGCGUUAGUGACUGACAGGGAACGCAGGUUUUUAAAGAUCAGAGAAAUGGCAGCUCAUCUGUGCGUGGAAGGGAGCAACCCAGACUGCCCUGAAAGGCACUCAGCCCCCAGGAUUGUGGUGAUCCUUCCCUGUCCGUCGUUAUGAAACAUGCAAAGACACCAGGUGUGGUAGUUGUUUCCUGGCCCUCUCAGGACAGCAUGAGCACGAGGCAGCAGGGUUUGGUGGUGCUGGGGGGAGACUGCUGUGUGCACGCUUGCUGCCCAGGAGGGACAGCCUGGUCUGUCUUAUGCACACACCCGUGGGUUGGGUUUGCACAGGACUCAGCAGCAGCAGGUGGUCUUGUCUCUCUCUAUCCUUUCCACUCCGCCUCCAAGUGGCCAGCCCAGUUUUCCUGGCAGUGUGGUGACCUCAGGGUAGUCAGCCUUCUUUCAGGAAUUCAGGGCCUCAGAACACCAAGGUGAAAGCUGCCAGUCAUCCCAAGAGCUAGGCCAGCAGGGCACGGUGUGCUGACCACCACACCUGUUCUUCAGAGCACCCACCCAGGCCCAUAAGUGGCUGUCUUGAGUCUGUCCCUGGAGUCUAGUGUAAGUGCAGCCUUGCCAGUCCUGCCACAGUGGGCACCCUGAGCUGGCAUGGAGGACUCGGGGCUGGUUUCUUUCCUUUUGUCUUCUCUCUCGAGCUCACACCAUCUUCCUGCUUCAGCCUCCUGAGAGCUGGGACUACAGGCCAGCACCUCUGUGCCUGUCUCUCUGUGCUUCAGGGCCUAUCUCCCCCCGCCCCCCCCGCCCCCGUACUGAGUAUUGAACCCAAAGCAAGUGCUCACCACUGAGCUACAUUCUCAGCAUCCCCCCACACUUUUUUUUUUAAAUUUAAAAAAAUUUUGAGGUACGACGACCCUGAGGUCACCACACUGAGUUGCCCAGGCUGGCCUCAAACCUGCCUUAGCUCCCUGAGGGUUAGGUUUUGGGCGUGGCCACCUGGCCUCAUUUCCAGCCUUCGAGCCUCCUGGUAGCUGCAGUACCUUGGCUCCGACUGGAGGCGCGAGUGUAGCCUACGCUGUGCCUGGAGCAGCACCCUCAGGCUCACACCUGUGGAUGCCCAGCUGGGCAGGUUUGGGGCAGAAGAUGAGUGUGGACAGCCGGGGGCUUGGCCUCUGGGGAAACGUGAGGCAGAGGCUUCCUGGGGCAGACCCUGAGACCAGGCUUGGGCGCAUGGGUGCGUGAGUGAGAGGUGGACAGGCCGGGAGGGUGCACAGCUAUCUCCAGGGUCCUUGGUGGCAGGACUCAGCCCUGAGUGAACUUUUCCUGUCCUUCCUCAGGGCUUGUCUCUGGAUGAGGAGAGGCAGGCAUGUAUGUGGCCCCUCACUGCCUUCUCUUCCUACCCCUCCAGGCCCUGACCAAGAAUGACAGGAGCACAGGUAAGUACCGGGGUGGCCACCCUGGGCAUGUGGGUAGCCAGGGCACCACCCAGCUUUGACCUGCUGGCCCUCUCCCAGAGGGGAAGGCCCACCGCGAGAAGCUGGAGCUGGUGGCCUCCUUCUCCUUCUUUGGCAACGUCAUGUCCAUGGCCAGCGUGCAGCUGGCAGGAGCCAAGCGUGACGCCCUACUGCUCAGCUUCAAGGAUGCUAAGGUGAGGGGUAGAGGGUGGUAGAGGGUGGUAGGCCCGGGGUGGGGGAUGGAGGGGGCAGGGCUACACAGGGGCCUGCUGGUACCCCCCAGGGUGCAUGGGGGCAGGCCAUAGUUCUGACCUUCUGCCCCCAGCUGUCGGUGGUGGAGUAUGACCCCGGCACCCACGAUCUGAAGACCCUGUCCUUGCACUACUUUGAGGAGCCUGAGCUGCGGGUAGGCCACAUCGAGGCACCCCGGCCAGCCCAGCUACUCCCUCCCUCCUUCUACCCCCAGUGCUGCCCGUGAGGGCUCCUGGCUAAUGUCCCUCUGCCCCCAGGACGGCUUUGUGCAGAACGUGCACACACCUCGAGUGCGGGUGGACCCCGAUGGGCGCUGUGCAGCCAUGCUCAUCUACGGCACCCGGCUGGUGGUGCUGCCCUUCCGCAGGGAGAGCCUGGCCGAGGAGCAUGAGGGGCUCGUGGGUGAGGGGUGAGCACUGGGGUCACGGCUGGGUCUGAGAGGCGUGGAGCUUGGUUCCCCUCUGUGUGGCCCACCCUGACGUCCCUGUGCCCCCAGGCAGAGGUCCAGCUUCCUGCCUAGCUAUAUCAUCGAUGUGCGGGCCCUGGACGAGAAGCUGCUCAACAUCAUUGACCUGCAGUUCCUGCAUGGCUAUUACGAGCCCACCCUGCUCAUCCUGUUCGAGCCCAACCAGACUUGGCCCGGGUGAGGCCCAGGGAUGCCCUCUUUGCUGUGGUCCCAGCUGCCUGGGCAGAGGGGACAGGGACGUGUAGCUCCCGCAGAGGGUGGAAGUGGGACCCCAGCCUUGGGGGGUGCUGCGAGUCCAGCUGACCCACCUACUACUCCAGGCGGGUGGCAGUGCGACAGGACACCUGUUCCAUUGUGGCCAUCUCACUGAACAUCACGCAGAAGGUCCACCCUGUCAUCUGGUCCCUCACCAGCCUGCCUUUUGACUGCACCCAGGCCCUGGCUGUGCCCAAGCCCAUAGGUGAGGAGGGCCCAGCAGUGCCCAGUGGUCCUGGGGGGGAGCAGUGAGCCUGCCUACCAGCCCGUGUCUGUCCCCAGGUGGGGUCGUGGUCUUCGCUGUCAACUCGCUGCUGUACCUGAACCAAAGUGUCCCCCCAUAUGGCGUGGCUCUCAACAGCCUCACUAUGGGCACCACUGCCUUCCCACUGCGUAAGUGUAGCUGACUAUUAGUGGGUGGGGCUGUGGGUGGGGCAGGGCCUCCAGCCAGCUUGACACCUUCCUCACAGGCACUCAGGAGGGCGUACGGAUCACCCUGGACUGCGCCCAGGCCGCCUUCAUUUCCUAUGACAAGAUGGUCAUUUCCCUCAAGGGUGGCGAGAUGUGAGCCCCUGGCCCUGUCUGCCCUGAGACCCCCACAUCCCCUCCCCUGCUCAUUCAGCACCCCCCACCCCUGCCCUCCAACAUCCUUCAUCCCCAGCCCUACUCAGCAGCCCGCCCCGCCCACAGCUAUGUGCUGACACUCGUCACAGACGGCAUGCGCAGCGUCCGUGCCUUCCACUUUGACAAGGCAGCCGCCAGUGUCCUCACCACCAGUGUGAGUAGGGGCAGGGGUGGAGGUCUUGCACUGGGUCCAGGUCUGGCCUCCUCUCAUCCACACGCCCGCCCUCAGAUGGUCACCAUGGAGCCUGGGUACCUGUUCCUGGGCUCGCGCCUGGGCAAUUCCCUCCUCCUCAAGUACACAGAGAAGCUGCAGGAGCCCCCAGCCAGUGCUGUCCGCGAGGCUGCUGACAAGGUGGGUGCUCAUGGUGGUGCCCAGGUGCUUGGCCACCUCCCCUUGGUGUAAAGCAGCCUGGAAAUGCUGUUCACCUCUGUCUCCCGCCUCACAGGAAGAGCCUCCCUCCAAGAAGAAGCGGGUGGACCCCACAGUGGGCUGGUCAGGUGAGAGCUGGACCGGUUGGGUGGGGUGGGUCUGGGAGCCAGGGCAAGGCUCAAGUGGGCUGUGUGCGCUACAGGGGGCAAGUCCGUGCCACAGGACGAGGUGGACGAGAUUGAAGUGUACGGCAGUGAGGCCCAGUCAGGCACACAGCUGGCCACCUACUCCUUUGAGGUGAGACUGGGGACAGCCGUGGAUGCCCGCCCCCUCCCACCACCUGACUGCCACUGUGUCUUCAGGUGUGUGACAGCAUGCUCAACAUCGGACCCUGCGCCAAUGCUGCUGUGGGCGAGCCCGCCUUCCUCUCCGAAGAGGUGCCUGGGGCCUGGGCUUGGGUUGGGGGCAGGAGCGGGGUUGGGGCAGCAUCUUUACCCCGACCUGUGCAGUUUCAGAACAGCCCUGAGCCAGACCUGGAGAUUGUGGUUUGCUCCGGCUAUGGGAAGAACGGGGCCCUAUCAGUGCUGCAGGUGUGUAGGGCAGGGGGGGUGGGCACCUGCGGGCAGCACCUGAGUAGGCUGACCCCAUCCCACCCUAUCUUCAUUCCAGAAGAGUAUCCGGCCCCAGGUAGUGACAACCUUUGAACUUCCUGGCUGCUAUGACAUGUGGACAGUCAUUGCCCCUGUGCGCAAGGAGGAGGUAGGUGGGACCCUAGGUGAUAGUGACUGUGGUGGCCUGAGGGCACCUGGAUCCAGUGGUCAUAGCCAUCACAGCUCUCUGUCCUCCCUGUCCUUGGCCCGUGCAGGAGGAGGCACCUAAGGCAGAGGGCCCAGAGCAGGAGCCGAGCACCCCUGAAGCAGAAGAUGAUGGCCGGAGACAUGGCUUCCUCAUUCUGAGCCGGGAAGACUCAACAAUGGUGAAGGGCGGGGUCUGGAUGUGGGCGUCUGGGGUUCCCCGGGGAAGGGCACAACUCACUACGUUACCUACAGAUCCUUCAGACUGGCCAGGAGAUCAUGGAACUGGACACCAGUGGCUUUGCCACACAGGGCCCCACGGUUUUUGCUGGAAACAUUGGGGACAAUCGCUACAUUGUCCAAGUGUCACCACUGGGCAUCCGCUUGCUAGAAGGAGGUAGGUGGGCAAGUGUAGGGAAGCGCGUCCUGGGGAGUAUGCUGCAUUGGCCACCCUGUGCUGACCACCCUGUGCCCACAGUGAAUCAGCUGCACUUCAUCCCUGUGGACCUGGGUGCCCCCAUCGUGCAGUGCGCUGUGGCCGACCCCUAUGUGGUCAUCAUGAGCGCCGAGGGCCGUGUUACCAUGUUCCUGCUCAAGAGUGAUUCGUAUGGUGGCCGCCACCACCGCCUUGCACUGCACAAGCCUCCACUGCACCAUGUAGGCCUCACCCUCUGUGUCUGCCAUCCCUGCCUAUGAUCCCCUAUCCCCACUGUCCCCGACCUACACUGGGCUUUGUCUCUCCCUGCAGCAGUCCAAGGUGAUCACACUCUGCCUGUAUCGUGAUGUCAGCGGCAUGUUCACCACCGAGAGCCGCCUGAGUGGGGCCCGUGAUGAGAUGGGGGGCCGCAGUGGUUCAGAGGCCGAAGGACUGGGCUCAGAGACCAGGUGUGCAGGGGGCCAGGGUGCAGGAGACCUGGGUCUCUGUGGCAGAUUGAGACAUGUCUGUGUCUUCAGCCCUACAGUGGAUGACGAGGAGGAGAUGCUCUAUGGGGACUCAGGCUCCCUCUUCAGCCCCAGCAAAGAGGAGGCCCGGAGGAGCAGCCAGCCCCCUGCUGACCGAGACCCUGCACCCUUUCGGGCAGAGCCCACCCACUGGUGCCUGCUGGUGCGAGAGAACGGCACCAUGGAGGUAGGUGCACACAUGUGGCUCAGCAGCCCUGGCAGCAUGGCAGGCCCUAUCGUCACUGACUGCUGUCCCCCACCAGAUCUACCAGCUUCCAGACUGGCGGCUGGUGUUCCUGGUGAAGAACUUCCCUGUGGGGCAGCGGGUCCUGGUGGACAGUUCCUUUGGACAGCCUACCACGCAGGGUGAGGCCCGCAAGGAAGAGGCCACGCGCCAGGGGGAGCUGCCCCUGGUCAAGGAGGUGCUGCUGGUUGCUCUGGGGAGUCGCCAGAGCAGGCCCUACCUGCUGGUGAGCCCUUUGGUGCCUGCCCAGAGGCUGGGACCUGCCCUCACAGCCCAGCCCAUUCCUCCACUCUGUCCUCGGGGCCCAGCCCCACCUCGUGGCCCACCCUGUCUCACUUCCAGGUGCAUGUGGACCAGGAGCUGCUUAUCUAUGAGGCUUUUCCCCAUGACUCUCAGCUUGGCCAGGGCAAUCUCAAAGUUCGCUUCAAGAAGGUGCAGCUGCUAGACCCUUUUGGGGUGGGUUGGGAGGGGUCCAGGCUACAGGGUCUGAAGGGCCUGGCGUUCAUCAACACCUUCACCAGGUCCCCCACAACAUCAAUUUCCGUGAAAAGAAGGCAAAACCCUCCAAGAAGAAGGCAGAAGGUGGCAGUGUGGAGGAGGGUUCUGGGGCCCGGGGACGUGUGGCACGUUUCCGCUACUUCGAGGACAUUUAUGGCUAUUCUGGGGUAGGCAGGCAGCUUUGUUUGGGCUUGGGGGUAGGGGAACAGGACCUUGCCCACAUGUUCUCACAGUGUCUGUCUCCAGGUGUUCAUCUGUGGCCCCUCACCCCACUGGCUCCUAGUGACUGGCCGGGGGGCUCUGCGGCUGCACCCCAUGGGCAUCGAUGGCCCCAUCGACUCCUUCGCCCCAUUCCACAAUGUCAAUUGUCCCCGAGGCUUUCUGUAUUUCAACAGACAGGUAGGAAGGUUAACUCUGGCCGCACCACAAGCACUGGUACUGCCCUGGCAAAGCUAGGCGCUAGGGACAGGAGGGCUCCUCAGCUGCAGCACAUCCCAGAGGACCAGGGAUGACUAUCUAGAGGAGGGUAGGGCCCAGGAGGUGGGAUCUGGGGCUUGAGGCUGGAGCAGUUGGCAGUGGAGGCCUGGCUGAUGGGGCAUACCCUGAAAGCCCUUGCCUCAUCUGUGACACCCACAUGGCAGCAAUGACCACCUGAGUCACUGACAGACUCUGGUGUUGAGUGCUUCCAAGGGGCUAAUGCACUCAGGACUGGACAGAAGCUGAGGCUGGGGCUGGCAGGGUCUCCCUCUGCCUGUGUUCUUCAGUCCCUGGCAUGGCCAGUCUCAGUCAUGUGGCUUUUAGUCUCUAGUGUCCUCUGGGCUUGGACUCCCAUGCCCUGUGCUGUAUUCCCCAGCCAGAAGGAUGGACAGGAGCCUACUGAUAGAAGGCAUGGGGACUGACGACCAAGGCUACAGCUCUUCCAGACCUUCCCCAGACUCGGUGACCCUAGCCAGGCAGUAGCGAGGCCUGCAGCCCUAGGCCUUGCUGACUAUUUCCACCCACCCCAGGGUGAGCUGCGGAUCAGUGUCCUGCCUGCCUACUUGUCCUACGAUGCCCCAUGGCCCGUCAGGAAGAUCCCACUGCGCUGCACGGCUCACUAUGUGGCUUACCAUGUGGAGUCCAAGGUCUGUCCCCUCCCCCAGCACUCCCUCCCCCAGGCACCCCAGGCGUGUGACACCAUUCAACUCCUAGGUGUACGCCGUGGCCACCAGCACCAAUACACCCUGCACCCGCAUCCCGCGCAUGACUGGUGAGGAAAAGGAGUUUGAGGCCAUUGAGAGAGGUAUGUGCCACCAGGGGUGGGGUGGACCAUGCCCAGGGCUGGCUACGACCACUGCCUCCUUGUCCCUGCAGAUGACAGGUACAUCCACCCCCAACAGGAGGCCUUCUCCAUCCAGCUCAUCUCCCCAGUCAGCUGGGAGGCCAUUCCCAAUGCCAGGUGAUGUUGGGCCCAGUGGGGGCUUCCGGGUGCCAGCAGGGCAGGACUAGGGUGUCCUGAUACAGCCUGUCCUUGUGCAGAAUUGAGCUGGAGGAAUGGGAACACGUCACAUGCAUGAAGACAGUGUCGCUGCGCAGUGAGGAGACUGUGUCGGGCCUCAAGGGCUAUGUGGCUGCUGGGACCUGCCUCAUGCAGGGAGAGGAGGUCACGUGCCGCGGGCGGGUAAGCAGCUGCCAGGUGGGGACAGGCGGCCCUUGGCAGCCUGUCUGCCAUCCCCACAUGUUCCCUUGCCCUGCCAGAUCCUCAUCAUGGACGUGAUUGAGGUGGUGCCCGAACCUGGCCAGCCCCUAACCAAGAACAAGUUCAAGGUCCUAUACGAAAAGGAACAGAAGGGGCCUGUGACCGCCCUGUGCCACUGCAAUGGUCACCUGGUGUCAGCCAUUGGCCAGAAGGUACACAGCUACUCCUCCCUGCUGUGUUUCUGCCUGCUCACCCUGCCCACUCCACUGACCCUUCUGCCCCCUAGAUCUUCCUGUGGAGCCUGCGGGCCAGUGAGCUGACGGGCAUGGCCUUCAUCGACACCCAGCUGUACAUCCACCAGAUGAUCAGCGUCAAGAACUUCAUCUUAGCUGCAGAUGUCAUGAAGAGCAUCUCACUGCUGCGCUACCAAGAAGAGAGCAAGACGCUGAGCCUGGUGUCCCGGGUACUUCAUGUGGUCUUGGGGUACAGGUGAGAGUCAUACUCGGGCUCCUCCUGACACCUUCUGCUCCCUGACAACAGGAUGCCAAGCCUCUGGAGGUGUACAGUGUGGACUUCAUGGUGGACAAUGCCCAGCUGGGCUUUUUGGGUGAGUAGGGUCUUGGGGGAGUGUCACCCUGGGGGUGGCUGGAGCUGACUCUGGGUCUUUGCUCCCUAGUGUCUGACCGAGACCGCAACCUCAUGGUGUACAUGUACCUGCCAGAAGGUCAGUGGCUCCCUCCCUCACUUGUUUUUUUCAAUGUUUUUUAGUAGUUGAUGGACCUCUAUUUAUUUGUAUGUGGUGCUGAGAGUCGAACCCAGUGCAUCACACAUGCUAGACAAGCUAUCACUGAGCCACAACCCCAGCCCUCCCUCCCUCACUUCUACUCCGGCUGGGUAUUGGGCACUGGGUGGGCAGUGAUCUGAGUUCUUCUGUCCUAGCCAAGGAGAGCUUUGGGGGCAUGCGCCUGCUGCGCAGGGCAGACUUCCACGUGGGUGCCCACGUGAACACGUUCUGGAGAACGCCAUGCAGGGGGGCCACUGAGGGGCCCAGCAAGAAGUCGGUGGUGUGGGAGAACAAGCACAUCACGUGGUUUGGUGAGUGGGGUGGGGUAACUGAGCUCACUGCCCCCUCGAGCCACACUGGAUGACUAGGGGGUUGACCUGGCUCACGCUUCCCCCCAUCCCCAGCCACACUGGAUGGCGGCAUCGGGCUCCUGCUGCCCAUGCAGGAGAAGACCUACCGGAGGCUGCUGAUGCUGCAGAACGCACUGACCACCAUGUUGCCCCACCAUGCUGGUCUCAACCCCCGUGCCUUCCGGUGAGCACCCACCAUCCUCAGGGCUCUGCCUACCCUCCCAGGUUGCCCUGACCCCCCACACCCCCUCCCCAGGAUGUUGCAUGUGGACCGGCGCAUCCUACAGAACGCAGUGCGCAACGUGCUUGACGGAGAGCUGCUCAACCGCUACCUGUACCUCAGCACUAUGGAGCGUGGGGAGCUGGCCAAGAAGAUUGGCACGACCCCAGACAUUGUGAGUUGGCCUGCUUUCCCCCGCCCAUCCUGUCCCUGCCCUGCUGAGCCCUGCCCUGACGGCUUUCACCCUACAGAUCCUUGAUGACCUGCUGGAGACUGACCGUGUCACCGCCCACUUCUAAGCAUGUGGAUGCCACCCUGCCCCCGCACACUGCCUCCCCCCACCUUUUGUACAAAACAAGGAAAACAAAUUGUUUGAGACGAGUGUGUG